GACUCACCAGGAAGCCCGGGUGAGGGGCAUGCAGGGGUCAGAGCCACCGGAGGAAGGGGGAGAAGGGAAAGAAGAAGGAGGAAGGGGAAGAGGAAGAGGAGGCUGGGGAUGGGGCAAGAAGAGAGAACCCCUAUGCUGCUGAGGGAGCUGAAGACAGCAGGUGUGUCCCCUGCACCCGUCCCAGUCGCUCGAACGGUGGCUGUGUGAGUCGGCCUGUCUGGCCGUGGCUCUAGUCUUUGGCAUGGCACUGGGCUUGAUGCUGCUGUGAAGGGAUUUCUCAAAUGUGACCCUGGCAAGGCCAGCACCUCAGAACACAAGAGGCCAGGCUGGCCCACACCCAUUCUGCGGGCCAGAGCCAUCCUGCCGCAGCCAACCCUGCCAGAACCAGGCUGCCCAGCCCCCAGCCAACUGGGCUUAACCAGGGUGGUGGGGGCUGGCACCCAACCCCAGCGCCACAGCUCUGGCCCUGCCUUGGUGGGCAGGUGGAGAGCACACCCAGAAAAGCCGUGGUUCUCAGCCCUCUGGACACCAAGGAGGACCCCAGCUCUAACCCCAGCCCCACACAGGGACACAGUGGCAAGGCCCAGACCUACACCCUGGAAGGUAAAUACCUAGGAGUGGAGUAUCUGGAUCAGACAGGUGCAGCAAACCACCAUGACACACGUCUACCUAUGUAACAAACCUGCACGUUCUACACGUUUCCCAGGACUUAAAAAAUAUGGACACUUUAUUUAUGUGAAAGAAUCAGGAGAAGAACUGGCCACAGUGGGCCAUUCAAGUUAUUUCUGCCCAAGUGAUCUUCGAUUCAUCCUGUCUCCAAGGAGUUUGUCCAUUUCGUCCAGGCUGCCAAAUGUUUCGACGUGAAGUAGUUCAUGAUGUCCCCCUAUUAUCUUUGUAAUAUCUGUAGAAUCCGCAGUGGCAUCACCUCUCUUGUUCCUAACAUUGGAGUGGAAUGUGGUGGAUUUUCCCUACAUGCGGCUUUGGCUAAACCGCACGUUCCCCUCCCUCCUGAGGGUCUGUCUCCUCAUCCACCCGCUAGUGCACCUCCAGCUUCUGUACCUCGGACUCACCUUGAAAGUCCACUUGGCAUCCAUCACUGCACAGUCAGUCAGGAAAAGGAAGCCAUGCUCGUUAUUUCAAACAGAAGGAAGUUAAUACAGAGAACUGGUUACACGGGUGCUGGAGGCUGGAAGAGAAGACGGGCACCGAGGCACCUGACGUUGUGAACAGCAGGAAGCAGCUUCCACUCCCAGGGCUGGGGGAUCAAAUGAAAGAGGUUGGGCUGCCAGAACCCGGAAGCACAGAGAAAGGAGGGAGUGGCAGAGACAGUAUUGGGAGUGCCAAAAGAAGUGGUGGGCUGGAGUAGCCACCCACCUCUGUGGCUGGAGGGCCCUGAAAGAAGCUGGUGAAGGAACAGAAAUCUCCUCUCCUCACCUCCCACCAGUGCCUUCCAGGAAGCCAUCUGGCCAAAGAGCCUGAAAAUACAGUGUGCACAAUCCCAGCCACAUGUGUCAGUCAGCUAUUGCUAUGUAACAAAGCACCCAAAAACCAAGGGCUUAAAACAGUAAGUGUUUGAUGGAUGAUAGACAGAUAGAGAGAUAGAAGAGAUAGGUAGAAAUGUGUGUGCGCAUGUGUGCGUGUGUGUGUGUGUGUGUGUGAAUGUGUGUGUGCAUGGAUUAGGGUAUAUACAUGUGUUUUCUAGUAUUCUCCCCUGAGAAGGUCUAUAAAAAAAAAUGACACUCCAGUAGUAACUACCACACCCAAUGCCCAGAUCUUGGUUUCUAAAUACCAUUUUCCAAUGAAAAGAAUCAGGGAUCCUUAGAGAAGUAGCUGGGUCUCUGGGGAAGGAAAUUACAAGAUAAACCUGGAGCAUUUUGUGGUGCCAGAAAAUGAGGAAGCACUCAAAAACAGAUGGGGUGAACGCACACAGGAGCCACUGUGAAGGGGCUGCCAUGGCCAACACUGGAACAAUUUGAGCAACAAAAUAAAGAUAAUGUUGGAUUA